GACAGAGGGUGCAAACGUUGUUCGGAAUUACUGGGCGUAAAGCGCGCGCAGGCGGCGGUAUAAGCAUGGCGUGAAAGCCCCAGGCUUAACCUGGGAGGGUCGUCGUGGACUGUACCGCUUGAGGGCGAUAGGGGCUGGUGGAAUGCCUGGUGUAGUGGUGAAAUGCGUAGAGACCAGGCGGAACACCCGUGGCGAAGGCGGCCAGCUGGGUCGUCCCUGACGCUGAGGCGCGAAGGCGUGGGGAGCGAACGGG
rnacentral:rRNA from 1 species